CUCCAGCCCACAUGGUGCCCCCUAGCGUAUUCAGCGUGUGCCUAGAGUAUGCUUAUCGUAUAAAGGCCGGCGCACACUAGAGCUAUGUGCUUAGCAAAAUGUCAUUCGUGACUGUUGGCGUAAGGAGAUAGCUCUCGUGUGCGGGCGAUUUACGAACGACUUUUGUCGUUCGUGCCACUUACGCCAAAUAUCUAACAUGUUUGAUAAUUUCUGCCUCGCGUGCCAAAAUCUUUCCGUGUGCGGCGAACGAAAGCUAUCUGCUUACGGAUUGUCGUAACAGCGCAUGCGUAGUAUACGAAAGUAAACAUCCAAGAUGGCGGCGCAAAAUGAAUUGCUGGCCGAAGCAAUUUUAGAGGACAAACUUACUGGCUAUUUCUUUCACCGCACAUUCCCUUUUGUCCCUAUUUCUAAAAUCUGCAGAACUCACAUCGUAUAAACAUUUGUAUUCAGGCCAAAGUUCGACAAGUUUGUCCUCUAAAAUUGCCUCGGCCAGCAAUUCAUUUUGCGCCGCCAUCUUGAAUGUUUACUUUCGUAUACUACGCAUGCGCUGUUACGACAAUCCGUAAGCAGAUAGCUUUCGUUCGCCGCACACGGAAAGAUUUUGGCACGCGAGGCAGAAAUUAUCAAACAUGUUAGAUAUUUGGCGUAAGUGGCACGAACGACAAAAGUCGUUCGUAAAUCGCCCGCACACGAGAGCUAUCUCCUUACGCCAAC